rnacentral:rRNA from 1 species
GGAAACGCGUAGUCGAUGGGAAACAGAUUAAUAUUUCUGUACUUCUAUAUAUUGCGAAGGAGGGACGGAGAAGGCUAAGCAAGCAUGGCGCUGGUUGUCCAUGUGAAAGUAUGUAGGUUGGGAGUUUAGGUAAAUCCGGACUCCUAAGACUGAGAUACGAGACGAGGCUCUACGGAGCUGAAGUUGUUGAUGCCAUACUUCCAGGAAAAGCUUCUAAGCUUCAGAUAUAUAGGAACCGUACCCCAAACCGACACAGGUGGUUAGGUAGAGAAUACUAAGGCG